rnacentral:rRNA from 1 species
AGUGGCGGACGGGUGAGUAACACGUGAGAACCUGCCUUGAGGUUGGGGACAACAGAGGGAAACUUCUGCUAAUACCCAACGUGCCGAAAGGUGAAAGAAAUUCGCCUGAAGAGGGGCUCGCGUCUGAUUAGCUAGUUGGAGAGGUAAAGGCUCACCAAGGCGACGAUCAGUAGCUGGUCUGAGAGGAUGACCAGCCACACUGGGACUGAGACACGGCCCAGACUCCUACGGGAGGCAGCAGUGGGGAAUUUUCCGCAAUGGGCGAAAGCCUGACGGAGCAAGACCGCGUGAGGGAAGAAGGCUCUUGGGUUGUAAACCUCUUUUAUCAGGGAAGAAGAUCUGACGGUACCUGGUGAAUCAGCAUCGGCUAACUCCGUGCCAGCAGCCGCGGUAAGACGGAGGAUGCAAGCGUUAUCCGGAAUUAUUGGGCGUAAAGCGUCCGCAGGUGGUGGCUCAAGUCUGUCGUUAAAGCUCGGGGCUCAACCCCGAAAAGGCGGUGGAAACUGGGUAACUAGAGUACGGCAGGGGUAGAGGGAAUUCUCAGUGUAGCGGUGAAAUGCGUAGAGAUUGGGAAGAACACCAGUGGCGAAAGCGCUCUACUGGACCUGUACUGACACUCAAGGACGAAAGCUAGGGGAGCAAAAGGGAUUAGAUACCCCUGUAGUCCUAGCUGUAAACGAUGGAUACUAGG